rnacentral:rRNA from 1 species
CCCAGACUCCUACGGGAGGCAGCAGUGGGGAAUAUUGGACAAUGGGGGGAACCCUGAUCCAGCGACGCCGCGUGAGUGAAGAAGUAUUUCGGUAUGUAAAGCUCUCUCAGCAGGGAAGAAAGAAAUGACGGUACCUGACUAAGAAGCCCCGGCUAACUACGUGCCAGCAGCCGCGGUAAUACGUAGGGGGCAAGCGUUAUCCGGAUUUACUGGGUGUAAAGGGAGCGUAGACGGCGAUGCAAGCCAGGAGUGAAAGCCCGGGGCCCAACCCCGGGACUGCUCUUGGAACUGCGUGGCUGGAGUGCAGGAGGGGCAGGCGGAAUUCCUGGUGUAGCGGUGAAAUGCGUAGAUAUCAGGAGGAACACCGGUGGCGAAGGCGGCCUGCUGGACUGCAACUGACGUUGAGGCCCGAAAGCGUGGGGAGCAAACAGGAUUAGAUACCCGUGUA